ACUUAAAUUGAAGAGUUUGAUCAUGGCUCAGAUUGAACGCUGGCGGCAGGCCUAACACAUGCAAGUCGAGCGGUAGCACAGAGAGCUUGCUCUCGGGUGACGAGCGGCGGACGGGUGAGUAAUGUCUGGGAAACUGCCUGAUGGAGGGGGAUAACUACUGGAAACGGUAGCUAAUACCGCAUAACGUCGCAAGACCAAAGUGGGGGACCUUCGGGCCUCAUGCCAUCAGAUGUGCCCAGAUGGGAUUAGCUAGUAGGUGGGGUAACGGCUCACCUAGGCGACGAUCCCUAGCUGGUCUGAGAGGAUGACCAGCCACACUGGAACUGAGACACGGUCCAGACUCCUACGGGAGGCAGCAGUGGGGAAUAUUGCACAAUGGGCGCAAGCCUGAUGCAGCCAUGCCGCGUGUGUGAAGAAGGCCUUCGGGUUGUAAAGCACUUUCAGCGGGGAGGAAGGCGUUAAGGUUAAUAACCUUGGCGAUUGACGUUACCCGCAGAAGAAGCACCGGCUAACUCCGUGCCAGCAGCCGCGGUAAUACGGAGGGUGCAAGCGUUAAUCGGAAUUACUGGGCGUAAAGCGCACGCAGGCGGUCUGUCAAGUCGGAUGUGAAAUCCCCGGGCUCAACCUGGGAACUGCAUUCGAAACUGGCAGGCUAGAGUCUUGUAGAGGGGGGUAGAAUUCCAGGUGUAGCGGUGAAAUGCGUAGAGAUCUGGAGGAAUACCGGUGGCGAAGGCGGCCCCCUGGACAAAGACUGACGCUCAGGUGCGAAAGCGUGGGGAGCAAACAGGAUUAGAUACCCUGGUAGUCCACGCCGUAAACGAUGUCGAUUUGGAGGUUGUGCCCUUGAGGCGUGGCUUCCGGAGCUAACGCGUUAAAUCGACCGCCUGGGGAGUACGGCCGCAAGGUUAAAACUCAAAUGAAUUGACGGGGGCCCGCACAAGCGGUGGAGCAUGUGGUUUAAUUCGAUGCAACGCGAAGAACCUUACCUGGUCUUGACAUCCACAGAACUUUCCAGAGAUGGAUUGGUGCCUUCGGGAACUGUGAGACAGGUGCUGCAUGGCUGUCGUCAGCUCGUGUUGUGAAAUGUUGGGUUAAGUCCCGCAACGAGCGCAACCCUUAUCCUUUGUUGCCAGCGGUUCGGCCGGGAACUCAAAGGAGACUGCCAGUGAUAAACUGGAGGAAGGUGGGGAUGACGUCAAGUCAUCAUGGCCCUUACGACCAGGGCUACACACGUGCUACAAUGGUAUAUACAAAGAGAAGCGACCUCGCGAGAGCAAGCGGACCUCAUAAAGUAUGUCGUAGUCCGGAUUGGAGUCUGCAACUCGACUCCAUGAAGUCGGAAUCGCUAGUAAUCGUAGAUCAGAAUGCUACGGUGAAUACGUUCCCGGGCCUUGUACACACCGCCCGUCACACCAUGGGAGUGGGUUGCAAAAGAAGUAGGUAGCUUAACCUUCGGGAGGGCGCUUACCACUUUGUGAUUCAUGACUGGGGUGAAGUCGUAACAAGGUAACCGUAGGGGAACCUGCGGUUGGAUCACCUCCUUACCUUAAAGAA
rnacentral:rRNA from 1 species